rnacentral:rRNA from 1 species
UUAUGGCUCAGGAUGAACGCUAGCUACAGGCUUAACACAUGCAAGUCGAGGGGCAUCGAGAGAAAGCUUGCUUCUUGUCGGCGACCGGCGCACGGGUGAGUAACGCGUAUCCAACCUUCCCCCUAGUAGGAGAUAGCCCGGCGAAAGUCGGAUUAAUAUCCUAUGUUAUCCGUCGAGGACAUCUGAAGUGGAUUAAAGAUUUAUCGCUAGGGGAUGGGGGAUGCGUCUGAUUAGGUAGUCGGCGGGGUAACGGCCCACCGAGCCAACGAUCAGUAGGGGUUCUGAGAGGAAGGUCCCCCCACAUUGGUACUGAGACACGGACCAAACUCCUACGGGAGGCAGCAGUGAGGAAUAUUGGUCAAUGGGCGAGAGCCUGAACCAGCCAAGUAGCGUGCAGGAUGACGGCCCUAUGGGUUGUAAACUGCUUUUGCAGGGGAAUAAAGUGAGGCACGUGUGCCUUUUUGUAUGUACCCUGAGAAUAAGGACCGGCUAAUUCCGUGCCAGCCGCAGC